rnacentral:rRNA from 1 species
UACCCGCAGCACAAGUGGUGUUCAUUAUUAUUGGGCCUAAAGCGUCCGUAGCUGGCUUGUUAGAUGCCUGGGUAAAUCGAUGCGCUCAACGCAUCGAACUCCGGGUAGACCGGCAAGCUUGGGACCGGGAGAGGCGUGAGCUACUCGAGGGGUAGGGGUAAAAUCCUGUAAUCCUUCGGGGAGGACCAGUGGCGAAGGCGUCACGCUAGAACGGCUCCGACAGUGAGGGACGAAGCCCUGGGGCGCAAACCGG